UCGAUUAAGGCAUGCAAGUCUACGCCUGAUUGUCAGGCGUGGCAUACGGCUGAGUAACGCGUAGACAACCUGCCCUGUGGAUGGGAACAACCUCGGGAAACUGAGGCUAAUUCCAAAUAGAAACCAGACACUGGAAUGUUCUGGUUUUCAAAGAGCAUAGCGGAUUGAAGCUAUGACUGCCGCAGGAUGGGUCUGCGUAGGAUUAUGGUUGUUGGUGAGGUAACGGCCCACCAAGCCGAUAAUCCUUAGGGGCCAUGUAAGUGGGAGCCCCCAGAAGGACACUGAGACAAGGGUCCUAGCACUACGGGGUGCAGCAGCCGCGAAAACUCCACAAUGCGCGAAAGCGUGAUGGGGGAAUUCCGAGUGGUAUUGGUCUUACCAAUAUCUUUUACGAAGUGUACAAAGCUUCGGGAAUAAGAGUGUGGGCAAGACCGGUGGCAGCCGCCGCGGUAACACCGGCGCCUCGAGUGGUGCUCGCGAAUACUGGGUCUAAAGCGCCCGUAGUCGGUUUUAUAAGUCUACUGUGAAAUAUUGUCGCUCAACGGCAAUGCGUGCAGUGGAUACUGUAAGACUUGAGAAUGGGGGAGGAUAGGAGUACGCUCGGGCUAGCGGUAAAAUGCGUUGAACCUGAGCGGACUACCAGAGGCGAAAGCGUCUAUCCAAAACAUGUCUGACGGUGAGGGGCGAAAGCUGGGGGAGCAAAGGGGAUUAGAUACCCCCGUAGUCCCAGCUGUAAAUGAUGCUCACUAGAAAAUUCUAUACCUUUGUGGUAUAGAGUUUCCCAAGCGAAGGCGUUAAGUGAGCCACCUGGGGAGUACGAUCGCAAGAUUGAAACUUAAAGGAAUUGGCGGGGGAGCACCACAAGGGGUGGAUGCUACGGUUCAAUCGGAUACAACGCCGAGAACCUCACCCAGAGAGACGGCAGAAUGAAGGCAUGGCUAAAUACCACGUCAGACAAGCCGAGAGGUGUUGCAUGGCCAUCGUCAGCUCGUGCCGUGAGGUGUCCGGUUAAGUCCGGCAACGAGCGAGACCCAUGUGCUUAUUUGCGAAUUUGCGCUCCGGCGCAGAUGCACUAUAAGCAGACUGCCCGCGUUAAGUGGGAGGAAGGAGUGGGCGACGGUAGGUCCGUAUGGCCCGAAUCUCUGGGGCUACACACGGCAUACAUUGGGCAAGACAACGGGAUGCGACUCCGAAAGGAGGAGCCAAUCCUCCAAACUUGCUCUAGGUCUGGAUCGAGGGCUGCAACUCGCCCUCGUGAAACUGGAAUCCCUAGUAAUCGCGGAUCAUCAUUCCGCGGUGAAUGAGUCCCUGCUCCUUGCACACACCGCCCGUCAAGUCAUCCAAGUGUGGUUUUGGUGAGGCUUUCUCUACAUGGGAGAGUCGAACCGGGACUGCGUGAGGAGGGCUAAGUCGUAACAAGGUA
rnacentral:rRNA from 1 species